CCUUAUUGCUAGGGGUGCCUUAUGGCUGAGAGGGCAGAUUUUGCCUAACCCUUGAACCUGAUGUGGUUAAUACCACCGUAGGGAAGCAGAAUAAAUGCACU
rnacentral:ncRNA from 2 species